GGGUCGAAAAACUGGCCAUCUUGCAGUCUGUCCGGGCCCAAUUAAAAUUAAAAAGUGGGAUAUGGCACGACCACAAGGCCAUUCAAAAAAAGUUUUGCGACCUGAAGCGGCUACACAAAGAAAAGGUUGAUGAGUACAGUCGGCGAUUAUUCCCAGGUCAACCCCUUCCCUCGAUCUGCCACCACAAAAAAACAAACAAAAAAAAAGUUAACGAGAAGCAGGGAGAAAAUGUGGAGGCGCCCAUGGAGGAGGAGAGGGCAAAUGUCGAGGCGGCCAUAGAGGAGGAGGGAGAAAAUGUAGAGGCCACUUCCCCCCCAAGAUGUUGCAGAGACAGAGGCCACUGAGGAGGAGGCCAGACCUUCCCAGCCACCUGAUUCCGCCCCCCCAGUUCCAGAAGAGGAGGAAGAGGUGGUCUCCAUCCCCCACUGGGAGGUUGUGAACAUGGCCAUACGAGAGCUGGAGGCAACCAAACAAGAAUUCAGAAAAAAUAUAGCGGAGCUAAAAAAAAAUCAGCACCGCUUUAAUCGACAGUUGCGGCAAAUGGAGGAAAUAAACCUCCACCAGCUCCGAAAACUGGACAAAAUAGUUUCGGAGCUGAAAA